rnacentral:tRNA from 1 species
GUUCGUGGGCUCCGUGGCCUAAUGGAUAAGGCAUCUGACUUCGGAUCAGAAGAUUGCGGGUUCGAGUCCCGUCGGGGUCGGCUUCUAGUCCCA